rnacentral:rRNA from 1 species
CCUACGGGCGACAGCAGUAGGGAAUAUUGCUCAAUGGGCGAAACCCUGAACCAGCAACGCCGCGUGGAGGAUGACGGUUUUCGGAUUUUAAACUCCUUUUUUUAGAGGAGAUAAUGACGGUAUCUAACGAAUAAGCACCGGCUAACUCCGUGCCAGCAGCCGCGGUAAUACGGCGGGUGCAAGCGGUACUCGGAAUCACUGGGCGUAAAGGGCGCGUAGGCGGGUUAGCAAGUCAGAUGUGAAAUCCUAUGGCUUAACCAUAGAACUGCAUUUGAAACUGUUAUUCUAGAGUAUGGGAGAGGUAGGUGGAAUUCUUGGUGUAGGGGUAAAAUCCAUAGAGAUCAAGAGGAAUACUCAUUGCGAAGGCGACCUGCUAGAACAUAACUGACGCUGAUGCGCGAAAGCGUGGGGAGCAAACAGGAUUAGAUACCCCAGUAGUC